rnacentral:siRNA from 1 species
AGGCUUUCAAGAUCCGGUUGUGGU